GCCUUUUGGUUGUAAAGCACUUUAAGCGAGGAGGAGGCUACCGAGAUUAAUACUCUUGGAUAGUGGACGUUACCCGCAGAAUAAGCACCGGCUAACUCUGUGCCAGCAGCCGCGGUAAUACAGAGGGUGCAAGCGUUAAUCGGAUUUACUGGGCGUAAAGCGCGCGUAGGUGGCCAAUUGAGUCAAAUGUGAAAUCCCCGAGCUUAACUUGGGAAUUGCAUUCGAUACUGGUUGGCUAGAGUAUGGGAGAGGAUGGUAGAAUUCCAGGUGUAGCGGUGAAAUGCGUAGAGAUCUGGAGGAAUACCGAUGGCGAAGGCAGCCAUCUGGCCUAAUACUGACACUGAGGUGCGAAAGCAUGGGGAGCAAACAGGAUUAGAUACCCUGGUAGUCCAUGCCGUAAACGAUGUCUACUAGCCGUUGGGGCCUUUGAGGCUUUAGUGGCGCAGCUAACGCGAUAAGUAGACCGCCUGGGGAGUACGGUCGCAAGACUAAAACUCAAAUGAAUUGACGGGGGCCCGCACAAGCGGUGGAGCAUGUGGUUUAAUUCGAUGCAACGCGAAGAACCUUACCUGGUCUUGACAUAGUAAGAACUUUCCAGAGAUGGAUUGGUGCCUUCGGGAACUUACAUACAGGUGCUGCAUGGCUGUCGUCAGCUCGUGUCGUGAGAUGUUGGGUUAAGUCAGGCAACGAACGAGACCCA
rnacentral:rRNA from 1 species